AUGGCCGCCGGGAGGAAGGUGACGAUGAGCAGCGCCGGCGUGGCCGCCGCGCUGGUGGCGCUGCUGGUCGUGGCGGCGGCGUCGGGCGCGGCCGGGCUCAGGGUCUGCAGCGUGGACAGGGACAGCGUCGUCAACAACUGCAAGUCCUACUGCACGGUGGGCAGCACGGAGGCCAGCCCCAGCGGCGCGUGCUGCAACGCGGUGCGCGGCGGCAACUUCAAGUGCCUCUGCCAGUUCAGGAACGCGCUGUCCCCGGACAUCGACGGCAACCGCGCCAUGCAGAUCCCCGCCAAGUGCGGCUACGGGGCGGCCUCCUGCUAG
rnacentral:rRNA from 1 species